AGGCUUAGCACAUGCAAGUCGAGGGGUAACAGUGUCACUUCGGUGAUGCUGACGACCGGCGCACGGGUGAGUAACGCGUAUGGAACCUACCUGAGACAGGGAGAUAGCUUCGCGGAAACGGGGAUUAAUACCCCAUACGAUUCAUUUGUGGCCUCACAAAUGGAUAAAAGCUACGGCGGUUUCAGAUGGUCAUGCGUACCAUUAGUUAGUUGGUGAGGUAAAGGCUCACCAAGGCGAUGAUGGUUAGGGGUCCUGAGAGGGUAGUCCCCCACACUGGUACUGAGACACGGACCAGACUCCUACGGGAGGCAGCAGUGAGGAAUAUUGGUCAAUGGGCGCUAGCCUGAACCAGCCAUGCCGCGUGCAGGAAGACGGCCCUACGGGUUGUAAACUGCUUUUCUGCAGGAAGAAUAUAUAGUCUUAGGGCUAUAUUGACGGUACUGCAGGAAUAAGCAUCGGCUAACUCCGUGCCAGCAGCCGCGGUAAUACGGAGGAUGCAAGCGUUAUCCGGAUUCAUUGGGUUUAAAGGGUGCGCAGGCUGUAAAGCAAGUCAGUGGUGAAAGCCCUGGGCUUAACUCAGGGAUUGCCAUUGAAACUGUUUUACUAGAGUGUAGUAGAGGACGGCGGAAUGAGUUGUGUAGCGGUGAAAUGCAUAGAUAUAACUCAGAACACCUAUUGCGUAGGCAGCUGUCUAUACUACAACUGACGCUGAGGCACGAAAGCGUGGGGAGCGAACAGGAUUAGAUACCCUGGUAGUCCACGCUGUAAACGAUGAUCACUCGGUGGUUGGCUACUUAGUAGUCAGUGACCAAGGGAAACCGAUAAGUGAUCCACCUGGGGAGUACGUCGGCAACGAUG
rnacentral:rRNA from 1 species